rnacentral:tRNA from 1 species
UGGGGGGUGGCAGAGAUUAUGCUUUAGGCUGUAAACCUAACUUACGGGCGCUUUCGCCCCCUCCCAA